rnacentral:rRNA from 1 species
GACGAACCGUGCGAACGUUGUUCGGAAUCACUGGGCUUAAAGGGCGCGUAGGCGGGUCUUCAAGUCAGGGGUGAAAGCCUCCGGCUCAACCGGAGCAGUGCUUUUGAUACUGGAGAUCUCGAGGGAGGUAGGGGCAUGUGGAACUCAGGGUGGAGCGGUGAAAUGCGUAGAUAUCGGGAGGAACACCAGUGGCGAAGGCGACUACCUGGCCUGUUCUUGACGCUGAGGCGCGAAAGCUAGGGGAGCAAACGGG